CAGCAGUCUUACGAUGGAAAACCACUUGUUCCCAUUUCGAAGCGAGAAUAUUGAGAACUGAAGAAAAUCAGUAAUUUGUCCAAAAUGGAACUUGAGACAUCCCUCCUGGCUUUUUCCAUGGCUUAUUGUGCAGUUAGUCAUCCCUAUUUCUGUUUCUCCACCUGUUUCAACCUUGAUCUUCCAGGAGAACUGGCAAGAUUCAGCUUGGCAACAUCUUGGAAACCCACACAGAAAGGAUGGCAUUUGGAUGCAGGAGAGAAACUAACCUUUUUUGGGAGAAGUCACAGGAAGGGGUCCCAAAGAUCAACUUACAAAACUGGCUUGUGACGAUAUACCUGUUAUACAGACAUUAACUCUAC